CCUACGGGAAGCUGCAGUGAGGAAUAUUGGUCAAUGGACGAGAGUCUGAACCAGCCAAGUAGCGUGAAGGAUGACUGCCCUAUGGGUUGUAAACUUCUUUUAUAUGGGAAUAAAAUGUUCCACGUGUGGGAUUUUGUAUGUACCAUAUGAAUAAGGAUCGGCUAACUCCGUGCCAGCAGCCGCGGUAAUACGGAGGAACCGAGCGUUAUCCGGAUUUAUUGGGUUUAAAGGGAGCGUAGGUGGAUUGUUAAGUCAGUUGUGAAAGUUUGCGGCUCAACCGUAAAAUUGCAGUUGAAACUGGCAGUCUUGAGUACAGUAGAGGUGGGCGGAAUUCGUGGUGUAGCGGUGAAAUGCUUAGAUAUCACGAAGAACUCCGAUUGCGAAGGCAGUUCACUGGACUGCAACUGACACUGAGGCUCGAAAGUGUGGGUAUCAAACAGGAUUAGAUACCCUUGUAGUC
rnacentral:rRNA from 1 species